rnacentral:rRNA from 1 species
ACGAACGCUGGCGGCGUGCUUAACACCUGCAAGUCGCACGGAAAGGCCCUGCUUUUGUGGGGUGCUCGAGUGGCGAACGGGUGAGUAACACGUGAGUAACCUGCCCUUGACUUUGGGAUAACUUCAGGAAACUGGGGCUAAUACCGGUUAGGAGCUCCUGCUGCAUGGUGGGGGUUGGAAAGUUUCGGCGGUUGGGGAUGGACUCGCGGCUUAUCAGCUUGUUGGUGGGGUAGUGGCUUACCAAGGCUUUGACGGGUAGCCGGCCUGAGAGGGUGACCGGCCACAUUGGGACUGAGAUACGGCCCAGACUCCUACGGGAGGCAGCAGUGGGGAAUAUUGCACAAUGGGCGGAAGCCUGAUGCAGCAACGCCGCGUGCGGGAUGACGGCCUUCGGGUUGUAAACCGCUUUCGCCUGUGACGAAGCGUGAGUGACGGUAAUGGGUAAAGAAGCACCGGCUAACUACGUG